rnacentral:tRNA from 1 species
UGCAUCUGCCGGGUAUCGAACCCGGCCCGCAGGCGAGCAUUCUACCACUGAACCACC